GUGGUUUGGAACAGGGCAGGGAUGGAGGGAAGGUCCUUGUAUCUUAGACAUCAAAAUCCCAGGAAAAUAAUUAGGAGGUGUUUGGGAUUCUGCUGAAAACUCUGACAACAGAGGGCGAGAAACGGACAGAGCGGAGCUUCAGGGAAAUGCCUGUGGUGAGCUGGAUACAGAGGAUCUCAGAAGGAGAAGAAGCCAGAGGAGUAGGCUGGCCCAGAGCCCAGGUCAUUGAGUCAUGAGGAAUGGCCUUCCGGGAUGGGAAGGGGCUGCUGUCUCUGGACUCUUGCUGAGGACCAGAAAUAUCUCCAAGAGCACCAGCAACCCCAGCUAUCUAGACCCGAAGUGGAUAUACUCAGAGGCAUCCUGGCCUACCCCACCCCUGACCCCAGAGAAGAUGCUGCUGCCCUCAGAAGACGCCAGAGCCAGCCACACUGCAAGUCUGGGAGGAUCGAGCAAGGCAGGCUGCUCAGUGAAGGCUUCCUCUCCUGUAGCAGGAAGAGCAUCGUUAAGAACAAGUAUGCAGGGCUGGACUACUCUGGAGAUGUAAUGACCAGAGCUGAGACCCCCGAGACCAGAGUGACUAUGAAGGACUGUCGUCACCUUGUUCCUGAACAUCUAAUGCCUCUCAGCUCCAGGAGGCCACUGAGGAGAAACCGAAGGCUAGUUUUCCUUGGAAGCCAGCAGCCUGUCCACCUGUUCCACUUCCCUGCCUCUUGCAGCCUCCGCUCAAACACUACCAUGGUUUGGGAGCACGGAAAAACUAGAAAAUACAGAAAUAUAUCAAGAAGAAAGAAAUUUAAAAAUCAACCUGAAUCCCACCAACCAGAGACAGCUAUUAAUGAUUGUGGUAUAUUUAUUGCCCAUGGCAUGGAUGGCACCGACAAUCGAGGCAGGCAGUGCUGGUGGAUACACCUAGGAGGUCCUGUUGGAAGAGGACCAUUCGUGUGCAGAAACGAGGAAAUAGACAUGUAUGAGCUGGAAGAAAAUCUUAUCCGUCUGAUUCAAUUCCCUCAUUUCACAGCUGGGCACAGGAAAAUAGAGAAUAAGGACCCAGGGAACUAA
rnacentral:lncRNA from 1 species